GGUGGUGCGAUGGUUGUCGUCAGCUCGUGUCGUGAGAUGUUGGGUUAAGUCCCGCAACGAGCGCAACCCUCGACCUUAGUUGCCAGCAUUCAGUUGGGCACUCUAAGGUGACUGCCGGCUAAAAAGUCGGAGGAAGGUGGGGAUGACGUCAAAUCAUCAUGCCCCUUAUGACCUGGGCUACACACGUGCUACAAUGGGCGGUACAAAGGGUCGCGAACCCGCGAGGGGGAGCCAAUCCCAAAAAGCCGCUCUCAGUUCGGAUUGCAGGCUGCAACUCGCCUGCAUGAAGCCGGAAUCGCUAGUAAUCGCGGAUCAGCAUGCCGCGGUGAAUACGUUCCCGGGCCUU
rnacentral:rRNA from 1 species